rnacentral:hammerhead_ribozyme from 1 species
GCACUGCUGAGGAGUCCCAAACUAGGACGAUACGGCCGUCCAGUGC